CACGUAGGAGGCGAGCGUUGUCCGGAAUCAUUGGGCGUAAAGAGCGCGCAGGCGGCUUGGCAAGUCGGGUGUGAAAUCCCGGGGCUCAACCCCGUGACUGCAUUCGAUACUGUCAGGCUAGAGGUAGGUAGGGGAGAUCGGAAUUCCUGGUGUAGCGGUGAAAUGCGCAGAUAUCAGGAGGAACACCGGUGGCGAAGGCGGAUCUCUGGGCCGAUACUGACGCUGAGGAGCGAAAGCGUGGGGAGCGAACAGG
rnacentral:rRNA from 1 species